rnacentral:rRNA from 1 species
GACAGAGGGUGCAAACGUUGUUCGGAAUCACUGGGCGUAAAGCGCGUGUAGGCGGCAAUGCAAGUCGGAUGUGAAAUCCCGCGGCUCAACCGUGGAAGUGCACCCGAAACUGCAUAGCUAGAGUGUCGGAGAGGAAGGUGGAAUGCUUGGUGUAGAGGUGAAAUUCGUAGAUAUCAAGCGGAACACCGGUGGCGAAGGCGGCCUUCUGGACGACGACUGACGCUGAGACGCGAAAGCGUGGGUAGCAAAC